AAUCCCAGGGCUAAUGUCAACUAUUUUUGGGCCUUCUUCUAUCAAUCCUUAAGCCUGUGGCGGACAAACACCGUUUUAAAUA
rnacentral:tRNA from 1 species